UCCCUGGUGACUCAGAGGUUAAAGUGUCCGCCUGGAAUGCGGGAGACCCGGGUUCAAUCCCUGGGUCGAGAA
rnacentral:tRNA from 1 species